CUCCAUCGCCAGCUCGUGAGCGUCCAUGUAUUGCGUCAUAGUAUACAAAAUGGUAACGGUGAGAAUUCCGGGUUUGCGUAAUCUCUUACAUUUACGUAUAUGAGGGUCUAAAAACCGUUUCGGGAGGAAAGAAUAAAGAAUGAUGGACGAAUUAAAGUGCAGAAUAAAGAGAGAAAAAAUAAAGAAAGGAAAGAGGAGAGUAAAAAAGCAAAAAUAGAAUAAAAAACAAUUGAGAAUCAUGGGGUUCAACUUCUAAAUUGUAAAGACUGAAUGAAUUUUGAGAAGUUAUUGAAAGUAAAGGACAAAUUAUCAAUGAAGAAACAGAGAAAAUGUUAAUG
rnacentral:lncRNA from 1 species